rnacentral:rRNA from 1 species
AUAGAACGCUGGCGGCAGGCCUAACACAUGCAAGUCGAGCGGAGCGGCGGACGGGUGAGUAAUGCCUAGGAAUCUGCCUGGUAGUGGGGGAUAACGUCCGGAAACGGGCGCUAAUACCGCAUACUAUCAGAUGAGCCUAGGUCGGAUUAGCUAGUUGGUGGGGUAAAGGCCUACCAGGGCGACGAUCCGUAACUGUGCUGAGAGGAUGAUCAGUCACACCGGAACUAGGAAACGGUCCAUACUCCUACGGGAGGCAGAAUGGGGGAAUAUUGGACAUUGGGAGAAAGCCUGAACCAGCCAUGCCGCGUGUGUGAAGAAGGUCUUCGGAUUGUAAGGCACUUGAAGUUGGGAGGCGUUACCAACAGAAUGAGCACCGGCUAACUUCGUGCCAGCCGCCGCGGUAAUAC